GUAGGUGAACCUGCGGAAGGAUCAUUACACUCAGUAGAUUUCUACUGCUCAGGGGGAGCGGAAAGUGGCUCAAGCUUGCUUGUCCACAAGUACGCUUUCUAUCUGAUACCCUUGUCUUUUUGCGUACUCAUGUUUCCUCGGCGGGUCCGCCCGCCGGUUGGACAACUCAAUAACCUUUUUAAUUUUCAAUCAGCGUCUGAAUAAUUAUAAUAAUUACAACUUUCAACAACGGAUCUCUUGGUUCUG
rnacentral:misc_RNA from 1 species